UGUACACGCUGUGACUAGCAUAUCAAUAAGCGGAGGAAAAGAAACUAACAAGGAUUCCCCUAGUAACGGCGAGUGAAGCGGGAAGAGCUCAAAUUUGAAAUCUUAAAGGGUUUCCCUUUACGAAUUGUAGUUUAAAGAAGUGUUUUCUGUUGAGGUUUUGGUAAAAGUUCUUUGGAAUAGGACAUCAUAGAGGGUGAGAAUCCCGUAUUUGACCUUUACUUUCAACUUUGUGAUACACUUUCAUAGAGUCGGAUUGUUUGGGAAUGCUGUCCAAAAUGGGUGGUAAAUUUCAUCUAAAGCUAAAUAUUGGCGAGAGACCGAUAGCGAACAAGUACCGUGAGGGAAAGAUGAAAAGAACUUUGAAAAGAGAGUUAAACAGUACGUGAAAUUGUCAAAAGGGAAGCGUUUGACACCAGUGUUGUUUUUCUGAAAAUCAAUUAAAGAACUGGUUAUGCUAAGUUGUUUAGACUUUAUCAGCUAUCUGUUUAGUUUUGAGCUUUUCUUAAUGCACUUUUCAGUUAACAAGUCAACAUCAAUUUCUUUUGCUGUAAAAAAGCUUGAGGAAGGUGGCUUGAGAUUCGUCUUAAGUGUUUAUAGCCUCUUGCCUAUGCAGUCGGAGAGAUUGAGGUCUGCAGCGUAGAUCCUUCGGGGCUAAAUGCAUUUGUGCUAAGUUAUAGCAUUUUAUAGACAACUUGUUGACUAUGAUUUGUCUUGUAGCUUACUCGCUUAUGUUAUUUUACCUACGCUUAGGAUGUUGACGAGACUGUCGAUCUC
rnacentral:rRNA from 1 species